GAUUUCUGGCGUGGUGCCUUCCGUCCGCCGCUGUCAAGCGUGUGAGUACGGGAGUCGUGCCUGCCAUCCUUCUAGGGAGCGCGUCUGCCCUUUACUGGGUCGGGCGCGCGACCUGGAUCGUUUACUUUGAAAAAAUUAGAGUGUUUAAAGCAGGCGAUUGCCUCUGAAUACAUUAGCAUGGAAUAAUAAAAUAGGACUUUGGUUCUAUUUUGUUGGUUUCUAGGACUGAAGUAAUGAUUGAUAGGGAUAGUUGGGGGUGCUAGUAUUCAGCGGCCAGAGGUGAAAUUCUCGGAUUCGCUGAAGACUAACUUAUGCGAAAGCAUU
rnacentral:rRNA from 1 species